rnacentral:lncRNA from 12 species
GAUUAGUCCGUGGGAGGAAAGUGGUUCCCCCAGACUACAGAGCAAGUUAGAUUUUUUUUUUAAAAAUCUAUUUUAUUUUACUUAUUUGUUGUUUGGUCUAAGGUCACACCCGUGCAGCCAGAGGCGGAGCUGGAUGCGGAUUGUAACCCUCGCACCUGUAGGGCUGCCCUCGUCCCCGAUAGUCCUGGGCCCGACCCCGGGGGCAAAGAGACCAAGGCAGAGUCGGGUGGAAGGUUUUCUGAGCGAUGGGAGGGCCGAGGGGACGGACACGGAAAGGAAGGACUUUGUAAAUGAGGGUGGUUCUCGUGCUGGACGGGAUCCAUCCUCCCGGGCCCCAGGUUGCAUGGUGCAGACGAGACAGAGGCUGGCACAGCACGGGCAGCAAAGGGCCCACCAGCUGAGGACUGAGAAAACCCCACUGCUCGCUCUGAAGUCGCAGCUCCAGCUCUCCAGGAACUUCAUUUGCGAGGUGACUGUCACCAGGGUCACUCCAGGCGGCUUGGCUGGGAGACAGGAGGAUGCAUGUGGGAAAAUCCUACAGCCCUGCAGGAUUCUAGGCGGAGUCAAAUGUGCUGAUCUGGUGGAGGAGACAAGCGCCACCUGCUGGCUUCCUCCUCCCCCCAAACCUCCUCUCUCACCAACCUCUAUUAUCCCCUCAACCUCCCAGACGUUUAAAAACCGGGCUUGAUAUGCUAUAUGUUGGCAAAUUGAACUCCAAUUAAAAAAAGAAAAAUAGAUUGUCAUUGUGUUUCAGACAAUCGUUUGACACAGCUCCACGCCUAAGCUAGUCUCAUUCUCAUUGCUAUCCUUUGUUCCAUAAGCUCUUAGCUUCUUUUAAAACUAAUGUUUCUGUAUUAUGCACACAGAAAUACUCAUACAGUUUUAUACAAAUUCAUGCACAGAAUCUUAUGCACAUUGUAAAUGGUCUUAGUGCUUGCAGGCAGUCUAUUUUUUAUAGCUUGUAAAAAUAAAUAAAUAAUAAAAUAAAUAAUAAAAACCA